CAGAGACACUUGAGAGCAGCAGUGUUCGAGUUGCAGUUGCAGCUUUAGGUCUGUCGCAAGUUGAGAAAGAUGUUCUGCAGAACCUUCCUAAAUACUCUAAAAAAUAUAUUGAGUACAGUGUUGAAGUGAGCAUGCCUGAAUAUUUUGAAAUCCCUGAAAAAAUAUAUAUACCUGUGUUGGCAUCAAGCAGAGUUAAUUCUACACACCGCGAAAAACGAGAUAUUUGGUCUUCAGAAGAAAGAGAAGAUGCUGCAGUUGAGCUUUCUAUAAAAUUUAUGCCUCAAUAUCCUGGCCGAUAUCCCUGCCGGAUUUUUCUUCAGUCAAAGUAUGAUGUUCGACUCUUUCAGAUAGAA